GACGCUCAUCAGACACCACAAAAGGUGUUAGUACAUUUUGACAUUUGGACGGUGGCCAUGGAAGUCGGAAUCCGCUAAGGACUGUGUAACAACUCACCAAACGAAUGAACUAGCCCUGAAAAUGGAUGGCGCUCAAGCGUCUCACCCAUACCUCGCCCUCAGGGUAGAAACGAUGCCCUGAGGAGUAGGCGGACGUGGAGGUCAGUGACGAAGCCUAGGGCGCGAGCCCGGGUUGAACGGCCUCUAGUGCAGAUCUCAGUGGUAGUAGCAAUUAUUUCAAUGAGAACUUGAAAGACCGAAGUGGGGAAAGGUUCCAUGUGAACAGCAGUUGGACAUGGGUUAGUCGAUCCUAAGAGAUGGGGAAGCUCCGUUUCAAAGCGCUUGAUUUUUCAAGCCUACCAUCGAAAGGGAAUCCGGUUAAAAUUCCGGAACUUGGAUAUGGAUUCUUCACGGUAACGUAACUGAAUGUGGAGACGUCGGCAUGAGCCCUAGGAGGAGUUAUCUUUUCUUCUUAACAGCUUAUCACCCUGGAAUUGGUUUAUCCGGAGAUGGGGUCUUAUGGCUGGAAGAGCGCAGCACGUCUUGCUGCGUC
rnacentral:rRNA from 1 species